AAUGAAAUUUUUGUCGUGGAAACACUUCAAUGCUCCGCGGUAACGACAAGCCCGGAUGUUGGUCGUAGUUGUAUAAUCCUAAAAUUAAACACGCAUCCCAAAACCGUCGUUAAUAUUAGACAAAAAUACAAAUAAAAUAUGUUCGUCGUUACAUUUCCAAAAUAAACGCGGGAUUUAAAUUUCACUCCCAAAACUCAAACCAGAAAAGAAGCGGCGCAUAUGGAGCUUAAAAUGAAACCCUAAACUUUGCGGUUUCAUAGAGCAGCAGAUCAGAAGAAAUUGAAACUUCUCCUCCAUGAUGAGAAAUUGAUUGGAUUCUACAGUUCUCAGUCAAACCCUCAAAUAUGCGAUUUUGAUCAGCAUGCUCUCAUUUCUCAGAUGCAGUUGGUCUGUAGUUCUGCACUUCAGUUCAAGAUUGGUUUAUGGUGCUUUAGCUUCAAGUGCAUCUUUGAAGUGUUUAAGACCAAAAUUGACUUGUUGAAUUUGUCAAGUUGGUUUAAGGCUCAUGAUUGCUAGGCCUAGCCAGUUGCUUCUCUUGCAGGUCAUAACAUAUUGGUCAUCUUUGAUCUCUAUGUAUAAAUUAUGAGCGUGAACGUGUGUCAGGCUUGUGAGAGAGUGGGGGCAUACGUCGAGUCAGCAAAGAACACGGGGAGGAUGAAGAGAAGAUCAAUUUGUUAGAUUAGGCUGCCAGGUUGAUCGAGUUCAAGCUAGCCUUGUUAGCCAUGAAGAAGGCCAGUCAGAGCAUAUUCAGAGAGAUAUGUUGAGAUUACGUUGAAGGCAAGCUUUGAUCGACCUUCUUAUGAGAAUAGAACAUGAAAGGCAGAGGGAGCUUCAGGUAUUAUUAGAGCAUCAGGCUGUUUCAGAUUUUCCUCAUUGUAAUAACAUUAAGGUUAGUUGCCUUAUCUUCUGUUAUUUAUUGAAAGGAAAUUCUAAUUGUUUAUUUGUUACUGGGAAAAGAAUUACUUCGUCGUCCCCAUGUUGAUAAUAUGUGAUUAGUAAUGAGGAUACUGUUACAAACUAACUAAGUAUCAUAUAUUCAGAUCAACCAAACUGAACAAAUAAUAUGUCAAGAUCAUCCUGUUUACACAUCAUGAUUACCCAUUUCCUGCUGGACAUGGAAGCUUGUAUGAAUCACGAAGUAGUAAAAUAUUGCAUAGGAGAGAGAGAGAGAGCUAGGGAGAGAAAUGCAUGUAAAUGUUGCAGUUAGCUAAUGUUGGAUGAAAAAAUGUUACAUAUGCUAUAACCCGAACUAAAAAGAAACUAAUCAUUUGGAAAAUUACUUCCUAGAUCGCCAAAUGAGGCCUCAGAGUUACUGCUUGCUUGACCAUGUACAAUAGUUUCUAGUCUAAACUCUGUAGAGCGAAAACCUCCCCUGAAAAAUGGAUACGGUGUAAAACUCCCAUUCAUUAUAUAAUUUGCGCACAAAAAAUAAAUAUCCAGUGAUUCCUAGAUAAGAUCCAAGUACACUGUUAUCCACCCAUUAUCCACCCAACUUUUGAAUUGGCAGUGUACCCAUAGGAAUAAACCAAGUGACAAAAUUUAACAAACAAUAACCAAGUGACAAGAUAAAAAUAAUCAUAGAAAAAUAUAUACAUAAGAAAUCCACUAGAAAAAAAAAAGAUUUAAUAAACAAUCAUACCGGGGGAAGGAAAACGAGAAAUAAGUUCAGAAACUGAAUAUACAGUAUACCAUUGGCCACUACAAAUUGAAUCCUCUUCUCUUCUUGUACAACUAAUUAUUGAAACCCAGUCCUUGUUUCGAGAGAAGUAGCCAAUUUCCGUCUUUUAAAAGAAUAAGAACCUACAUUUUGUGGGAUGCAUAAAAUGUUAGACAAGAAACUAAUCUAGAUGAUUCAGAUGAAAGGAAGUAUACAAUUUUAUGAGUCCUAUAGACUUAAAUGAGUUUAAAAUAGUUUUAUUUAGAAGAGUCCUAUAGACUUAAAUGAAAGUUUAUCAAGCUUUUAACUUUUGGAAACAAGAAUGAGAAAAUGAGUUUAACAUAGUUUUAUUCAGAAAAUUUUAACUUAAAUGUCAGGUAUCUGUAAUAUAAUCUGAGCGUGCCUGCUUUUCCAUGAUAUGGAAGCUUGUGGUUGGGAUGAUGGCUUUGGGAGGAGAUUGACUUAGGUGAUUUUAUCUGCGGACAUCAUGCCAAGAUUGGAGGAAAUUCAGAAAACAAUGGAAGAAGAACCAACACUUUCCCAUGUAUAGGUAGCACAAAAGGUGUUUAAGUCGAAGUCUCGUGAUCGGGUUUUGGGUUUUGGAGGAGGAAUAACACUUAAAAAAAUACCAGGACCACAACCUAGUAGGGUGGAACUUCAAUCUAAGUUGAAUGAGGCAAACAAACAAAACCAUGUUCUUACCAAUCGCGUGGAUACGGUACAUGAACAAAACAAUGCACUUAAGAGUCGCAUGAGUUCAGUUGAAGAUGAGCUUAAUGGGCUUAAAGCAUUUAAAGAAGUGUUCUUACAACGCUUUUCAGAAGAUGGCACUCCAAGACACAACACUUCAACUAGUUAAAUUUUUAUUUUGUUCUUUUAUAUUGAACAAGAAUUAUUUAUCUUUUAGCUUUUUUAGAAUUUAAAGACAAGGGGAUGUGAUUUCUGAUUUAACAUAACUUGAAAUUCUAUUGUCAAAAGUAUUUUGAGUAAUGAAAUUUUAAUUUGUUUAA